rfam:Myotis davidii contig10544, whole genome shotgun sequence.
AGACCCAGAGAGAGAGGCAGGAUCUGAUCCUCAGCCUCAGUGGCAGCUGCUGAUCAGUAUUUGCCUCUCUCUUCCUUGCCC